rnacentral:rRNA from 1 species
GUGCCAGCAGCCGCGGUAACACCCGCAGCACAAGUGGUGGUCACUUUAUUGAGCCUAAAGCGUUCGUAGCCGGUUUUGUAAAUCUUCAGGUAAAUCCUGAAGCCUAACUUCAGAAGGCCUGAAGAGACUGCAAAACUUGAGAUCGGGUGAGGUUAAACGUACUUUCAGGGUAGGGGUAAAAUCCUGUAAUCCUGGAAGGACGACCGGUGGCGAAGGCGUUUAACUAGAACGAAUCUGACGGUGAGGAACGAAGGCUAGGGUAGCAAACCGGAUUAGAUACCCGGGUAGUCCUAGCUGUAAACACUGCCCACUUGAUGUUGCUUUUCCGUUGAGGGAAGGCAGUGUCGGAGCGAAGGUGUUAAGUGGGCCGCUUGGGAAGUAUGGUCGCAAGACUGAAACUUAAAGGAAUUGGCGGGGGAGCACCGCAACGGGAGGAAUGUGCGGUUUAAUUGGAUUCAACGCCGGAAAACUCACCGGGAACGACCUGUGGAUGAGAGUCAACCUGACGAGUUUACUCGAUAGCAGGAGAGGUGGUGCAUGGCCGUCGUCAGCUCGUACCGUAGGGCGUUCACUUAAGUGUGAUAACGAGCGAGACCCACAUCUCUAAUUGCUAAUGUAUAUGCGAAUAUACAUGCACUUUAGAGAGACCGCCAUCGCUAAGAUGGAGGAAGGAGCGGUCGACGGCAGGUCAGUAUGCCCCGAAUUUCCCGGGCUACACGCGCACUACAAAGAACGGGACAAUGCGUUGCAACCUCGAAAGGGGAAGCUAAUCGCGAAACCCGUCCAUAGUUAGGAUUGAGGGCUGUAACUCGCCCUCAUGAAUCUGGAUUCCGUAGUAAUCGCGGGUCAACAACCCGCGGUGAACAUGCCCCUGCUCCUUGCACACACCGCCCGUC